rnacentral:misc_RNA from 1 species
AAAGUCGUAACAAGGUAACCGUAGGUGAACCUGCGGUUGGAUCAUUAACAAAUCCAAUCUUUGACUGACUUACCCUCGGGUAAGUCUUUCAAAUACUACACCCAUGUGAACAUAUAAUUAGUUCUUCUGUUUUACCGCAAGGUGAAACGGAAACUACUAACACCUAUACUAUUAUUUUGAACUGAAAUCUUUUUUAAGUAGCAAAGUCUCUCUCGGGAGUUAGUAGCUACUUAAAAUAAAGCCAAAUGAGAUAACAACUUUUGACAACGGAUCUCUUGGCUCUC